AGCACUUUUUGUUUUUGUUUGGCUUUUUUGUAGGUACAAACAUGAAAAAAGUGCUAAAAGUAAAACCUUCUUUUGCAACUCACAACUGCUUUACUUGUAGGAGUUGUGCUACUUAUGGGAAGGUACAGU